ACGCUGGCGGCAUGCCUUACACAUGCAAGUCGAACGGCAGCACGGGUGCUUGCACCUGGUGGCGAGUGGCGAACGGGUGAGUAAUACAUCGGAACAUGUCCUGUAGUGGGGGAUAGCCCGGCGAAAGCCGGAUUAAUACCGCAUACGAUCUACGGAUGAAAGCGGGGGACCUUCGGGCCUCGCGCUAUAGGGUUGGCCGAUGGCUGAUUAGCUAGUUGGUGGGGUAAAGGCCUACCAAGGCGACGAUCAGUAGCUGGUCUGAGAGGACGACCAGCCACACUGGGACUGAGACACGGCCCAGACUCCUACGGGAGGCAGCAGUGGGGAAUUUUGGACAAUGGGCGAAAGCCUGAUCCAGCAAUGCCGCGUGUGUGAAGAAGGCCUUCGGGUUGUAAAGCACUUUUGUCCGGAAAGAAAUCCUUGGUUCUAAUAUAGCCGGGGGAUGACGGUACCGGAAGAAUAAGCACCGGCUAACUACGUGCCAGCAGCCGCGGUAAUACGUAGGGUGCGAGCGUUAAUCGGAAUUACUGGGCGUAAAGCGUGCGCAGGCGGUUUGCUAAGACCGAUGUGAAAUCCCCGGGCUCAACCUGGGAACUGCAUUGGUGACUGGCAGGCUAGAGUAUGGCAGAGGGGGGUAGAAUUCCACGUGUAGCAGUGAAAUGCGUAGAGAUGUGGAGGAAUACCGAUGGCGAAGGCAGCCCCCUGGGCCAAUACUGACGCUCAUGCACGAAAGCGUG
rnacentral:rRNA from 1 species